GAUGAACGCUAGCGGGAGGCCUAACACAUGCAAGCCGAGCGGUAGAGUUUCUUCGGAAACUUGAGAGCGGCGCACGGGUGCGUAACACGUGUGCAACCUACCUUUAUCUGGGGGAUAGCCUUUCGAAAGGAAGAUUAAUACCCCAUAAUAUAAUGAUUGGCAUCAAUUAUUAUUGAAAACUCCGGUGGAUAGAGAUGGGCACGCGCAAGAUUAGAUAGUUGGUGAGGUAACGGCUCACCAAGUCAAUGAUCUUUAGGGGUCCUGAGAGGGAGAUCCCCCACACUGGUACUGAGACACGGACCAGACUCCUACGGGAGGCAGCAGUGAGGAAUAUUGGACAAUGGGUGAGAGCCUGAUCCAGCCAUCCCGCGUGAAGGAUGACGGUCCUAGGGAUUGUAAACUUCUUUUGUACAGGGAUAAACCUACCCUCGGGAGGGUAGCUGAAGGUACUGUACGAAUAAGCACCGGCUAACUCCGUG
rnacentral:rRNA from 1 species